rnacentral:rRNA from 1 species
AGAGUUUGAUCCUGGCUCAGAUUGAACGCUGGCGGAAUGCUUUACACAUGCAAGUCGAACGGCAGCAUAGGUGCUUGCACCUGAUGGCGAGUGGCGAACGGGUGAGUAAUACAUCGGAACGUGCCCAGUCGUGGGGGAUAACGUAGCGAAAGUUACGCUAAUACCGCAUACGAUCUACGGAUGAAAGCGGGGGACCGUAAGGCCUCGCGCGAUUGGAGCGGCCGAUGUUAGAUUAGGUAGUUGGUGGGGUAAAGGCUCACCAAGCCGACGAUCUAUAGCUGGUCUGAGAGGAUGAUCAGCCACACUGGGACUGAGACACGGCCCAGACUCCUACGGGAGGCAGCAGUGGGGAAUUUUGGACAAUGGGCGCAAGCCUGAUCCAGCCAUUCCGCGUGCAGGAUGAAGGCCCUCGGGUUGUAAACUGCUUUUGUACGGAACGAAAAGGCUCUGGUUAAUACCUGGGGCUCAUGACGGUACCGUAAGAAUAAGCACCGGCUAACUACGUGCCAGCAGCCGCGGUAAU